rnacentral:rRNA from 1 species
GACGAACGCUGGCGGCGUGCUUAACACAUGCAAGUCGAACGAAGUGGCGAACGGGUGAGUAACGCGUAAUCAACCUGCCCUUCAGAGGGGGACAACAGUUGGAAACAACUGCUAAUACCGCAUACUGAAGGAGGGGAUUGCGUCGGAUUAGCUCGUUGGAGGGGUAACGCCCCACCAAGCCGAUGAUCAGCCGCCGGUCUGGGAGGCUGAACGGCAACCUUGGGACUGAGAGACGGCCCAGACUCCUACGGGAGGCAGCAGCGGGGAAUCUUCCGCAAUGGACGAAAGGCUGCCGGAGCAACGCCGCGUGAGGGAUGACGGCCUUCGGGUUGUAAAGCGCUGUUAAUCGGGACGCGGUACCGGAAGAGAAAGCCACGGCUAACUACGUGCCAGCAGCCGCCGUAAUAC